rnacentral:tmRNA from 2 species
GGGGCUGAUCGGUUUCGACGGUGAGACCGGGACCCGGACGUGCGACCCGAGUUGCUCAGACUCGUAAAACAGGGCACCCAACAGAAGCGCCGAUGGCGACUUCGCUCUCGCCGCCUGACCUCGUCAGGUAGUGGAGAGACACAGGGACCGGUAACGGCACCCGGGGCCUGCUCCCCGCAGCCCGGCAACAGAAGCGGGGAGUGACGGCGGGAAAGACCGCUGACGGCGUGAAAGACCGCUGACCGCCGGGAAAGUCCGGACGGUGGGCGCAAGCCCAGCCGACCCGCCGGCGCGGCAGCCGUAGAGCCGCAGAGACGGGAACGGUCGUAGCACGGUCGGCAACCGCUCAACGGACGGGGGUUCGAUUCCCCCCAGCUCCACCA